CCUACGGGUGGCAGCAGUGAGGAAUAUUGGUCAAUGGGCGCGAGCCUGAACCAGCCAAGUCGCGUGAAGGAUGACGGCCCUACGGGUUGUAAACUUCUUUUGUCAGGGAGCAAAGUAGGCCACGUGUGCCCUUAUGUAGGUACCUUAAGAAAAAGCCUCGGCUAACUCCGUUCCCGCAGCCGCGGUAAUACCGAGGAUGCGAGCGUUUUCCGGAUUUAUUGGGUUUAAAGGGUGCGCAGGCGGCAUGUUAAGUCAGCGGGAAAAGUUCGGGGCUCAACCCCGGCGGGCCGUUGAAACUGGCGGUCUUGAGUGGGGGAGAAGUAGGCGGAAUGCGUGGUGUAGCGGGGAAAUGCUUAGAUAUCACGCAGAACCCCGAUUGCGAAGGCAGCAUACCGGCGCCCCACUGACGGUGAUGCACGAAAGCGUGGGUAUCGAACAGGAUUAGAUACCCGUGUAGUC
rnacentral:rRNA from 1 species